GAGAACCGUUUAUAAUAUCAGCAAAUGAGCGAUUUUGAAGUUUGGACUCGACAAGUGUUUGUGAAAACAACUGUCGAAAAUCAGGUUUGGAAUCUUAUGAGUUAGUCCUGUAAUUUAUAAAUCACAUACCAUUAAAGAAUGCUGUUUUAUUCAGAUUUAUACUGAGCUCGCCAUUAUCAUCAGAGACUUCUAGUCCGUAGUACCGAGAAAACGAAGCGGCUU